rnacentral:rRNA from 1 species
ACGCUCGACACCUACGGAGGCAGCAGUGGGGAAUAUUGGGCAAUGGGCGCAAGCCUGACCCAGCAACGCCGCGUGAAGGAUGAAGGCUUUCGGGUUGUAAACUUCUUUUAUCAGGGACGAAACAAAUGACGGUACCUGAUGAAUAAGCCACGGCUAACUACGUGCCAACAGCCGCGGUAAUCUGAGCGGGCUGGCAAGGC